UACAGAGGGGGCAAGCGUUGUUCGGAAUUACUGGGCGUAAAGGGCGCGUAGGCGGCCUUCUAAGUCGAACGUGAAAUCCCCUGGCUCAACCCGGGAACUGCGUCCGAUACUGGAAGGCUUGAAUCCGGGAGAGGGAUGCGGAAUUCCAGGUGUAGCGGUGAAAUGCGUAGAUAUCUGGAGGAACACCGGUGGCGAAGGCGGCCUGCUGGGCAGUUGCUGACACUGAGGCGCGACAGCGUGGGGAGCAAACAGG
rnacentral:rRNA from 1 species